rnacentral:misc_RNA from 1 species
GGAACAUGCAACACAUUUUGCAAUGAAAUGGAAGGUGUGAGGUUGAUAUUGCCGUGACCAGCAAUAAUAAUGGAAGAGCCAUCAGCAACAGUUAUUUUCUUAUUUCCAGGACUAGAUUUAUACGACUCAAAUUUGUUAGGGAUAGGUGUCAUGUGAUCUGUGGCUCCAGAAUCGAUGGUCUAGGAGUUAGAUGGAUUUAAG